GUGAGGAAUUCAAAGACCACCAUGUUGCUGUUUUCCCUUACAACUAUAUUGAGGCUUGGUCAGGAUUUGUGUAGAAAGCGCACAGCAGGACUGAGCCUAUGCAUUCAAAGUCUUGAGUACCCCUACAAAGGAAGAGGACACAAACGAAAAAUGUUCCCUCAUACCAAGGAUUGUCCUGAAAUCCAAGACCGUAUUUUAUGAGAUAAGUUAAAAAUCACAUUACUAAUUACCAAUAUUGAGUAAAUUAAGGGGAAGAAUAUUACAUUAUGAAACUAACCAAAUAGCAUAAUCUUAUUGCUAAUUCCCCCUCUCCAUUGUUUUACUGCCUAUAUGAUUCAUGACAUUUAUAAAGCAGAUCCAGGAUUACCUCAAAAGUGCUUUUAAAAGUGAAAGAAUGCUUUUAAAAUGAAAAAACAAAAAACGAAAAAAAAAAACCAAGGAAAAGAAUUAUUUUAUUCUCCUCUUGGUGGAGAGUAGAACUGAAUAAUUACGGUGAGAUGCUGCCUUUAUCUCUACUGGAGGUUGUUGGAGUCACACUGGAGCUAAGAACUAGGGACCACAUCCUGGCCUUUGAUUUGAGGACCCUCUUGUGCAUGUUUAAUUUCCCACAACUCCAGAAUCACUUAUAACAUUGCAACUUUUCAUAUGUAAAAGUAAAAUUAAUAAACAUGUGUUACUCUUUAUGUUUGGGUUUCUUAGAAGACAUACAUCAGAGAGAGAGAGAUUACAGUAUGCAAUCUCUCAGCUGCCAACAGAACACAGAUGGGCUUGGGAACACAGAAUGAUCCAGAUCCGCAGGACUCGAGCAAUCCGUGGGAAGUUUGGACAGAAGAUCUGAUGCAUCAGACAGUAAAGGACUAUUGAAUGUUCCAUGAUAAAUGUGCUUGUUCUUUUGCCUGCAUGCCCUUGAAUAAAGACAUUUUGAUCUCCAGGGCCAACCUGAGAAACAUAUAAUUUAAUCUAGUUUUGAAAGAAGAGCCCUGCUACACAAACACUGGCUCACAAUGUUAAAAGAUAUCAACUGAAAUAUUGAAGGGCUUUCAUAUUUCAGUAAAUUGACUAUCCUAUGUGUUUGAUAUUUCCAUUUAAUUGAAUAUUUCUUAACUCAGUGAAAAAUGUAUGAGCCUGCUAUGAUAAAUUCAGUAUUGCAUAUGGGAAUUUCAAGUAUCUUUUAUUGAAUCUUAUUUCUUGAUCUCUCUCCUUUCAAAGAGAGAUACAAAAAGACCGUUAGCCUGCUUGCUUCUGUUUUUUUCUGCCCCAUCUCCACCUUUAUUCCCAAACUGUGGUUCACACAUUUAUUUCCAUUUUUAAAAAUUUUCUCUUGCUGCUGCCAUUCUCUUAUUACUCAUUUUUUAAAUACCUAGUCCACUUUCUUUACUUUUCUUUAAUGUCUGCCUCAGAGCUCAGCUUUUUUAGUUAAUUGACGAUAUCACUAGCCUUUAGUUCUGAGAGACUGAAUACACAGUCACACCACACAUAGAAAUAGAAUUCUAACCCACAAACUGCAAUAACCAGAGCAAGACCACAGCCUCCACGGCAAUUAGCCCAAAACGGUCAGUACCUGAUCAAUAAUGGACAACUUUCACAAUUUUUAGCUGCCUUCCUCUACUUCCAACUUUGGACCAACUGAAGAAAGACAAAUAUGCUGCCUAAUCACCCUCAUAGGAUACUUUUCUUUCAGUUAUCGGGCUUCCGACUCCUUUAUACCAAUAGCCUUCAAUCAAGCAGACCCGAAGUCUUCCCUUUUUUCCAUUCUAAAGCUUUCCUACUCCUCUGCCUGCCUUUGAGUCUCUGCCAAACAUAAAUAAUGGCGAUUGACUUCCUUACUAUGCUAGCUCUGAAUAAAUAUCCUUUUCUUGUUCGCAUCUGGGUACACUUCAUUUGUUUCCAUAGUUCUUUCAUUCUGUGAACUAUCCAAUUAAAAACUUUUUAAAAUAAAUACCAUGCUCUUGGCUUUUCUGCAAUCAUCAACUCUCUUUAGCUUCUUCCUUCAAUUCCACACCUUAUCCAGAUGCAAGCUAGCUUUUAGGAAGUUUUAGGAGGUACUUUUUCACUACAUAUAUUUUAUUUGACUGAAAAAUGAUAAAAUAUCAUUUAAAUUGAAUGUACACCAACUGUGGCUCCUGAAUAAUAAAAACAUAAAUUUGUAUCCAUAAGCAUAAUAGGACAUUUAAUAAUCCUUGUUACAUAUAUUGAUGAACAUAUUCUGUAAAGUCAUUUAGUCUUGUGCCAAAUAGAAACUAUAAAAAUAUAAUGAGCUUUUUGUCAAAAACUGUUAUGUAAGGCCUUGGAAGUUUCUAGUAGUUCAGUGCUUUCUAUUCCAUUCACGUUUUUGUUGAAAUAAAAUGGAAAAGAAAAUAACCUUGUAUAUGCAUAUUAGAACUAACAGGUAAGGGUUUCCAUGGAUACUUUUAUGCAGCCAAAGGGUUCGUGUGUGGAAAAAGGCAUUCAUUUCUAGUUCUAAGAGAUUCUGUUCUGAUAAGGAACUCCUGCCAAUCAUUUUAUGUCUUGACUUUCUAACAGAAUAAAAAUAAUAUAUAUCAUGUGUGUUAUGUGUAAGUCAUGAGAUAGUUCUAUCUAAAUAACCUUUUCAAUCAUCUGGCCUAUUCGAGUAAUACCUUGGAAUUUUGUUAAAGCUUGGAAAAUCUACGAAGAUUUUGUAAGCAACUUUUAAUGAGUUUAUUGCUUUCUAGAUAUGUUCGAGGAAUCUUUUUUCUCUCUUUUUCUUGGUCAUACUUAGGCAGUUUAAAUUAACCAACUACUAGUGCUAGAAUAAAAGUUUAUCUUUUACUUAAAAUAGCUUUGUUAUCUUUUAUCUUUAAUUUUACCUUUAAUUUUUACCUUUUUAUCUUUAAUUUUAUCUUGAAGAAAUUUCAAAUAUCUUUGAUUGAAUCUUAUUAGUUAAUAUCCUACCCAAAUGAAAUUUUCUGCAAGUUUUCUUUUUAUCUUUUUGAGAAACAUGUCAAAAAAGAUUUCACACCAUGAAACUGCUAGGUUAAAUUUUAAGCCAUACAGUUUUAUGAGAAGCUUGAUGAGGUUCUGUGACCUUUUAAUGAGCGAAUUCAUUCUAAACAACAUGUUUUAAAUGUAGCACUAUUGUUUUACACUGACUUGCGCCUAAGCAAUUAUAAAUUGUGAGCAUGGCCUGUAGAAUUGUUUUUAAAUAAAUAAUCUGAAAAAUCAUUUGAUCUUAGAUUUAAGAGUGAACUCUCAAAUACGGUUUGUUUUUACUAGUUAACAUAGACUCUGGAUAGCAGUGAAGUGUAAAUCAUGAUCAGAAUGGUAAACAAAGAGGCAAUUAAAAUAUCACUCAACUUCCAAACUGAUUAAAUAAUAAAUUUUUGCAACAAAGCUUUCAUGAUUUAUGUUUUCAAGUCCAUAGAUGCAACAGCUUUUUCACUGAGUGCAAUACUGUCGUGACACAUACAUUGUCAUGGUACAUUAUACUAUUAUAAUGUAAGCUAAAUGGCUGUCAAAAAUACAGGUUACAUAAGACGAGAAGAAACAGAAAUGCAAACUAUAUUAAGCCCUAACAUUGGUUUUGGCCUUGGCAUAAUAAAGAUGACAUCUUAAUGAUUACCAGGGAUACUGUUUAUAGAAGAUGAUUCCUAAAAUGUAUUUUAUUAUGGUAUUGUGCACUGCUAGAAAGCGGCCUCCUUUCAAAAGCUGCUUUAAAUAAUUGGCAUUUCACAAUAUGUAUCCAGUAUGUCAUUAAGACUGCACACAGAUUAUUACAGUACUUUAUUUAUAUUCAGCAUCAAAUUAUGUAAACUUCUGGCCUAAAGUAUUAUAAAGUUACUUCUUGAUGAUGAUUUAUUUUGGUAAUAUAAAAUAUCCUAUUCCUGUAUCUUCUUCCUCUUGCCCAUCAUUCAGUAUUUGUAUUUUCCAAAGUUCAUCAUCUGUCUUCUUGCUUUUACACUCCACCCCCCCUUAACAACCUACCCAUCCUAACGAUUUGAACCACAACCUGUUCACCUAAAAAAUCUGUAUUCUCCACAGAGACUUCCAAAUCACUAUUUCAUACCCAGACUUUUCACCCAAUGAAAGUAUCUAAUGGCUUACUUAAGAGUUCUGCCUGGAUAUGCAUCUUGAACCAAAUAUGUUUUACUCUCAAACUCAGCAACUUACUUCAAAAUCUAUUCCUCCUUCAAGACAUGCACCUGAGUGUGGA
ensembl:lncRNA